UAGUCCACGCCCUAAACGAUGGAUACUAGUCGUCGGGUUUCCUAAUAGACUCGGUGACGUAGCUAACGCAUUAAGUAUCCCGCCUGGGGAGUACGGUCGCAAGAUUAAAACUCAAAGGAAUUGACGGGGGCCCACACAAGCGGUGGAGCAUGUGGUUUAAUUCGAUGCUACGCGAAGAACCUUACCUGGGCUUGACAUCCCGCGCUACCCUGUGAAAGCAGGGGUUCUCUUCGGAGACGCGGUGACAGGUGCUGCAUGGCUGUCGUCAGCUCGUGUUGUGAGAUGUUGGGUUAAGUCCCGCAACGAGCGCAACCCUCGCCAUUAGUUGCCAGCAUUUAGUUGGGCACUCUAAUGGGACUGCCGGUGAUAAGCCGGAGAAGGUGGGGAUGACGUCAAGUCCUCAUGGCCCUUACGGGCUGGGCUACACACGUGCUACAAUGGUGGUGACAGUGGGCAGCGAGACCGCGAGGUCGAGCUAAUCUCCAAAAGCCAUCUCAGUUCGGAUUGUU
rnacentral:rRNA from 1 species